rnacentral:rRNA from 1 species
UACGGGGGGUGCGAGCGUUGUCCGGAAUCACUGGGCGUAAAGGGCGCGUAGGUGGUCUGAUAAGGGUGUGGUGAAAGCCCGGGGCUCAACCCCGGGUCGGCCGUGCCGACUGUUAGACUAGAGUGCUGUAGGGGCAGGCGGAAUUCCGGGUGUAGCGGUGGAAUGCGUAGAGAUCCGGAGGAAGACCGGUGGCGAAGGCAGCCCCCCUGGGCUAACACUGACGCUCAUGCACGAAAGCGUGGGGAGCAAACAGG